ACCCCUUACUCCUUUUUCGAGUUAUGGCAGUAGCUUAUUUUUGGAAAAGAAAUUCUCCAUUGGAGUCUUGUGUGGCUUAUGGUGAUAUAUUGCUCAAAUUGAAAACUUGCUAAGUUCUUGCUUAUGAUACUAUGCCACUGAAUUCAUAUGGAGGGGGGGGUAUCAUGCGGCUAUCUCUAAUUUGUAUAGCUCUAAGCUCUUGAGCUUCAACUUAGUGUUACAUGAUUGUUAUUGUUUUCAUCCUUGCUGUGAGGGUCCUAUGAAAAUUCUAAGUUCUUGUUUCUAUGAUUCUAAGUUAUUGGCUAUCUAUUGGUUGAUCUACAUGAUGCGAUGGAGAUGGGUGUUGAGGUUGUUGGGAUUACCUUAACGUAGUCGAAUCCUCCUCGGUGGUGGAUGUCCUUGCCGUCACCACUCGCUGCCCUCUCCCUCCUCCCUCGCUGCUCUUCUUAUGGUGUUGUGUGGAAUUUGUGGUGAUGAAAUGUGGUGGUGGAGGAGGUGAGGAGAGGCUGCUUAUAUGGUGCUAAUCUAUUGAAAGCUAGGUUUGAGACUUGGAGCCAAAGGCUCCUAUUUUGGGCUUGUUAGCUCUCUCACUUUCGAGCUUAAUGAUUGUGAGAUUCUUGCCGUUUUGGUGAUUGUGGCUGAUCUUCUUGGCUGAUUUCUCGGCCUUGAUCGACGGGGAGAUGAGAGUUUGUCUCAUCUUCUACUUUUGGGCUUGUGUAGGAGCUCGUUCCCCAAUGCCCCUUUGUCUCGACUCCCUUUUGAUGUUAGAAGAGAUGGUACAUGAAGGCAUUCUUGGAGCUUGUGGAGGGAAGCAAAAAAAAUCGAGAUUAAGAAAGAGAGGGAAAGAAAGGAGAUGCUCCUCUUGAGCUCAUUUGGUUCUAUUCCCAAUUUAGUUUGCUUCCAAACUCGAGAAUUUAAAGAAGUAGGAUAGAUAGUGUAGAAUAGGUGCAUGUUGAUUUUAUCACACUUGCAGGCAUGUACUAUUUCCGUCAUCCAUGUAUUUCUAUUUUUUUCACGGUGUAUCCACAUUUCUCUAAUAAAAGUAUUUUCUCCA